rnacentral:rRNA from 1 species
CUGUGAGCUCGAUGAGUAGGGCGGGACACGUGGUAUCCUGUCUGAAUAUGGGGGGACCAUCCUCCAAGGCUAAAUACUCCUGACUGACCGAUAGUGAACCAGUACCGUGAGGGAAAGGCGAAAAGAACCCCGGCGAGGGGAGUGAAAAAGAACCUGAAACCGUGUACGUACAAGCAGUGGGAGCACAGAGCAAUCUGUGUGACUGCGUACCUUUUGUAUAAUGGGUCAGCGACUUAUAUUCUGUAGCAAGGUUAACCGAAUAGGGGAGCCGAAGGGAAACCGAGUCUUAACUGGGCGUUAAGUUGCAGGGUAUAGACCCGAAACCCGGUGAUCUAGCCAUGGGCAGGUUGAAGGUUGGGUAACACUAACUGGAGGACCGAACCGACUAAUGUUGAAAAAUUAGCGGAUGACUUGUGGCUGGGGGUGAAAGGCCAAUCAAACCGGGAGAUAGCUGGUUCUCCCCGAAAGCUAUUUAGGUAGCGCCUCGUGAAUUCAUCUCCGGGGGUAGAGCACUGUUUCGGCAAGGGGGUCAUCCCGACUUACCAACCCGAUGCAAACUGCGAAUACCGGAGAAUGUUAUCACGGGAGACACACGGCGGGUGCUAACGUCCGUCGUGAAGAGGGAAACAACCCAGACCGCCAGCUAAGGUCCCAAAGUCAUGGUUAAGUGGGAAACGAUGUGGGAAGGCCCAGACAGCCAGGAUGUUGGCUUAGAAGCAGCCAUCAUUUAAAGAAAGCGUAAUAGCUCACUGGUCGAGUCGGCCUGCGCGGAAGAUGUAACGGGGCUAAACCAUGCACCGAAGCUGCGGCAGCGACGCUUAUGCGUUGUUGGGUAGGGGAGCGUUCUGUAAGCCUGCGAAGGUGUGCUGUGAGGCAUGCUGGAGGUAUCAGAAGUGCGAAUGCUGACAUAAGUAACGAUAAAGCGGGUGAAAAGCCCGCUCGCCGGAAGACCAAGGGUUCCUGUCCAACGUUAAUCGGGGCAGGGUGAGUCGACCCCUAAGGCGAGGCCGAAAGGCGUAGUCGAUGGGAAACAGGUUAAUAUUCCUGUACUUGGUGUUACUGCGAAGGGGGGACGGAGAAGGCUAUGUUGGCCGGGCGACGGUUGUCCCGGUUUAAGCGUGUAGGCUGGUUUUCCAGGCAAAUCCGGAAAAUNNNNNNNNNNNNNNNNNNNNNNNNNNNNNNNNNNNNNNNNNNNNNNNNNNNNNNNNNNNNNNNNNNNNNNNNNNNNNNNNNNNNNNNNNNNNNAAAAUCAAGGCUGAGGCGUGAUGACGAGGCACUACGGUGCUGAAGCAACAAAUGCCCUGCUUCCAGGAAAAGCCUCUAAGCAUCAGGUAACAUCAAAUCGUACCCCAAACCGACACAGGUGGUCAGGUAGAGAAUACCAAGGCGCUUGAGAGAACUCGGGUGAAGGAACUAGGCAAAAUGGUGCCGUAACUUCGGGAGAAGGCACGCUGAUAUGUAGGUGAAGUCCCUCGCGGAUGGAGCUGAAAUCAGUCGAAGAUACCAGCUGGCUGCAACUGUUUAUUAAAAACACAGCACUGUGCAAACACGAAAGUGGACGUAUACGGUGUGACGCCUGCCCGGUGCCGGAAGGUUAAUUGAUGGGGUUAGCGCAAGCGAAGCUCUUGAUCGAAGCCCCGGUAAACGGCGGCCGUAACUAUAACGGUCCUAAGGUAGCGAAAUUCCUUGUCGGGUAAGUUCCGACCUGCACGAAUGGCGUAAUGAUGGCCAGGCUGUCUCCACCCGAGACUCAGUGAAAUUGAACUCGCUGUGAAGAUGCAGUGUACCCGCGGCAAGACGGAAAGACCCCGUGAACCUUUACUAUAGCUUGACACUGAACAUUGAGCCUUGAUGUGUAGGAUAGGUGGGAGGCUUUGAAGUGUGGACGCCAGUCUGCAUGGAGCCGACCUUGAAAUACCACCCUUUAAUGUUUGAUGUUCUAACGUUGACCCGUGAUCCGGGUUGCGGACAGUGUCUGGUGGGUAGUUUGACUGGGGCGGUCUCCUCCUAAAGAGUAACGGAGGAGCACGAAGGUUGGCUAAUCCUGGUCGGACAUCAGGAGGUUAGUGCAAUGGCAUAAGCCAGCUUGACUGCGAGCGUGACGGCGCGAGCAGGUGCGAAAGCAGGUCAUAGUGAUCCGGUGGUUCUGAAUGGAAGGGCCAUCGCUCAACGGAUAAAAGGUACUCCGGGGAUAACAGGCUGAUACCGCCCAAGAGUUCAUAUCGACGGCGGUGUUUGGCACCUCGAUGUCGGCUCAUCACAUCCUGGGGCUGAAGUAGGUCCCAAGGGUAUGGCUGUUCGCCAUUUAAAGUGGUACGCGAGCUGGGUUUAGAACGUCGUGAGACAGUUCGGUCCCUAUCUGCCGUGGGCGCUGGAGAACUGAGGGGGGCUGCUCCUAGUACGAGAGGACCGGAGUGGACGCAUCACUGGUGUUCGGGUUGUCAUGCCAAUGGCACUGCCCGGUAGCUAAAUGCGGAAGAGAUAAGUGCUGAAAGCAUCUAAGCACGAAACUUGCCCCGAGAUGAGUUCUCCCUGACUCCUUGAGAGUCCUGAAGGAACGUUGAAGACGACGACGUUGAUAGGCCGGGUGUGUAAGCGCAGCGAUGCGUUGAGCUAACCGGUACUAAUGAACCGUGAGGCUUAACCUUACAACGCCGAAGGUGUUU